UACAGGGGGGGGCAAGCGUUUGUUCGGAAUUACUGGGCGUAAAGCGCACGUAGGCGGUCUGUUAUGUCGGAUGUGAAAGCCCUUGGCUCAACUGAGGAAGUGCAUCCGAAACUGGCAGGCUAGAGUACUAAAGAGGAUCGCGGAAUUCCCGGUGUAGAGGUGAAAUUCGUAGAUAUCUGGAGGAACACCGGUGGCGAAGGCGGCAUCCUGGACCGGCAUUGACGCUGAGGAGCGAAAGCCAGGGGAGCAAACGGG
rnacentral:rRNA from 1 species